GGCUGCCGGGGCUGCGUGACGCCUGCGGCCGCGGGGCGGCGGGCGGCCAAUCAGGGGGCGCGGCCGAGGCAGCCGGGCCCGGGUUUUAAACCAGCUCCUCCGGCGCGCGGCCUCGGAUGAUGUGGGGCGCGGACGCUGUGCGGCUGCCGGAGGGAACGCCGGGCGCCCCGUUAGAUGCGAAUGUCACACAGAAAGGAAUACUUAUUUUGGACAACUCCGGGAUCUGAAGAUAAAGGAAUGAGUAAAUUUGUCUGCAUCCAGCUAUAUCCCCAGAGAGGCAUUCUCCACAGCAACUUGCUUUUCUUAAAUGAAUGUGCUGCUAUGUCUUUACCUAGAAGGCUUUUUCUUCAGAGCUUCAGACGCUGGCAUCUUCUCAUUUGUGUUUCUGAUCAAAUGUCACCUCCAUGGAGAAGGCUUCUCUGACUCUCCCGUAAAACUCUGCCCAUCUCCAUGUGUCAUCUUCCUGUUCAGGCUGACAGCUGGAUAGCAAGAGCAGUUCCAGCUCUCACGUUCACACAGAAUGCCAUCCAGAGACCAUACACCGCAGUUGCUCUCUGUUUGACUACAAAUUUUUAGUGCAUCUGUGGCUACAAAUGUUGUGUAUGUGCUGUGUGCAUGCAGAAGUGCAGACUGUGAAAGAGGAUGGCUUUUACAGAUGGACUGGCAUGAUGUGGAAGAGUCAGAAGCACAUGCGGAAUAAGCAGGGCCUGGAAGACGGGAGUGACCACAAGAUCAAAUGUCACCUAGGAGUUUGCCGAAAUCCUCGAGAGGACCUUGGACAUUCAUAUACUCUGAAAUUGAGGAUUUGAACCAAUCUUGGACAUUCAUAUACUGUGAAAUUGAGGAUUUGAGCGAUCAUAAGGUACCAUCACCUCUAGGUGACAUCUAUAAUCCUUCAACAACUCUAACAGGUCGUCAUUAUUACCUAUAUUCAUGGAUAAAAAAAGCUAUUUCAAAGAAAUGGAGUUGCCUGUCUUAGUUCACAUAGAAUUAAGCUGAGUCAUGGAUUUCUUACUAUGCUGAGUAACUGAUUUUCAAAUAAAGGGAAUAAUCUAGAUAAGUUUCUUUAUAAAAACAUACAAUAGUAAUGUGUAAAAGUGGAACUUUAUGGUUUCUCAGAGGCCUUUGUAUAAUUCCUGAUCUCUAACGUUGAUGAUUUCUUGGGCUUACUGUGUUGUCCUGUAUGGGCAACUUAAUAGUUUGCAAGUUAGAGAUUUGUCUUUGCAGCACAGUUAUUUUGUUAAAUAGAAUAAUUAUAUUUGGUACUUAAUGGUUAACUUAAUAUUAUGAGCCCUUAAGUGACAUUUUUAAAGCUCAUACUCUUUAUUUUGCAACACCUUAAACCUGUUUCACAUCAAAUGUUUCUACAGAAAUUUCAGGUGAAGGGCAAAUUGAAUUUGAAUCUAUGGUUCUUCCAAGUUAAGCUUUUGCAUGUUAUGGCAGGUUCUUAAGGCACUUUGGUUCUCAUUUUAGAAGCGCCUCCAACGAUGCCUAAAUAAAAGCUAGGUUUGAAGCCUAAAAUACAUUCCCUUAGAACUUACAUGUAUGUCUGUCAAUGCAAGUAAGUGGAACUGUCACAGACAUACUAAAACCUAAGCAUAUGUAAAUCUCAACAUAGAAGGCAAAAUAUCGUUGAUCCAGUCCUGUUUGCGAUAUGGAAUAAUGGAUCUGUGAUAGAAUUGGUUGUCUAAUACUUCACCAGCCUGUGAGUACAUGACACCACACAAAAAAAAAUGGCUCGUAGAACCCAUGUACCUAUGCAGGACCAUGGCCUCUCUCGUUAUUUUGGGUUGUCCGCAGUCUGGCGGUGAGUUGCCUGUGCUCAGGAACAUAACCACUUACAAUCUUCUUUUAGCAGUUCUUGUCAAUACUGCUGGGCACUCCUUCUGCUGAUGGUGCUCUCUGUGGGAAUGCUGCAUAAAUGUUCUCUGCUAUGGCCACCUGAACACUCAGGGUGCCUUGCAUGGCUGCACUGUGUGGGAAGGAAGAAUGGGCUUCAUCCUAAGUCCUCUUCCCAGCACUGUUUAUACACUUGGUCCAAGAGGGAGCUUCCCACCUCAGGGUAUACCACAGGUGAUGAAGGAUUUAUGCCCUCAGCACUCUGGGUGGCUGGGCAGGGCUGAGGGGCAUAAGGAGCCCCUGUGUUGGUCAUGAGCUGUUUCAUCCAUUUCCCCAGAGUGUUCAAAUAUUAUUCCUUUCUGUGUGGCAAUGAUAUGAAGUAUGGUGAGUACCACUGGCUAAUAAAAUCUUUGAAGAACACAAAUCCUGAGGUUAUUCUAAUCUUC